CGAUAUCAAUAAGCGGAGGAAAAGAAAAUAACAAUGAUUCCCCUAGUAACUGCGAGUGAAGAGGGACAAGCUCAAAUUUUAAAUCUGUCGGGUUCUACCUGACCGAGUUGUAAUUUGAAGAGGCGUUUUCUGUGUUUCUGAUCAGUCCAAGUCCUUUGGGAUAAGGCAUCACGGAGGGUGAGAAUCCCGUUCGGUUGAUCAGAUUCGCUUUACGAUACGCUUUCAAAGAGUCAAGUUGUUUGGGAUUGCAGCUUAAAAUGGGAGGUAAAUUCCUCCUAAGGCUAAAUAACGGCGAGAGACCGAUAGCGAACAAGUACCGUGAGGGAAAGAUGAAAAGAACUUUGAAAAGAGAGUUAAACAGUACGUGAAAUUGUUGAAAGGGAAACGAUUGAAGCCAGUCGUACCUGCGGGUAAUCAGCCUUUUGGGCAUGAUUCUGGGAGUGUGAGGAGUUAAACGCCUUCAUGCCUGCAUAUUCGUGUACUUUGGGUGUACUUGCCUGUGUGGUUAGUUAACAUCAAUUUUGAUUAUCAUAAAAUGGCUGGAGGAAUGUAGCUUCGAUUUCGAUUGAAGUGUUAUAGCCUUCGGCAGAUGUGAUGAUCGGGAUUGAGGAUUGCAACGGAUACCCUUCGGGGCUACCUGUCUGAUCUCUGAUCGUUGCUCUGGUGCCGAAAGCGUGCUUACGGUUAUCAAAGUCGAUGGUCAAUAGGUUAGAAUGGGUUAAAUUCGUUAAGGAUGUUGACGUA
rnacentral:rRNA from 1 species